GCAAUGAAGAGUCUUUGGUUUUGACCAACGAUCUGAAAAAACUCACCAAUACCUCUAAGAAGUUCUGAGCUC